rnacentral:rRNA from 1 species
UUGACCUCAGAUCGAGUGGGACUACCCGCUGAACUUAAGCAUAUCAAUAAGCGGAGGA